CCUACGGGUGGCUGCAGUGAGGAAUAUUGGUCAAUGGGCGAGAGCCUGAACCAGCCAAGUAGCGUGAAGGAUGACUGCCCUACGGGUUGUAAACUUCUUUUAUAUGGGAAUAAAGUGUGGCACGUGUGCCAUUUUGUAUGUACUUUAUGAAUAAGGAUCGGCUAACUCCGUGCCAGCAGCCGCGGUAAUACGGAGGAUCCGAGCGUUAUCCGGAUUUAUUGGGUUUAAAGGGAGCGUAGGUGGGUUGUUAAGUCAGUUGUGAAAGUUUGCGGCUCAACCGUAAAAUUGCACUUGAUACUGGCAGUCUUGAGUACAGUAGAGGUAGGCGGAAUUCGUGGUGUAGCGGUGAAAUGCGUAGAUAUAACGAAGAACACCGAUUGCGAAGGCAGCUCACUAAACUGCCACUGACACUGAGGCUCGAAAGUGUGGGGAUCAAACAGGAUUAGAUACCCGUGUAGUC
rnacentral:rRNA from 1 species